AUGCCACCCACCGACGGCAGGCGCAACCCCACCCAACCUCAUCUUGAGGUGGUGAUCUCGACUAGCGAAGCGACUUCCUCAUCUCCGGCCCCUGAUCCGUGGCAAUGGGAUUGCUCGGGCUCAAGCCAGGGCGAAAUCCCUGCUCGGCUCGCCGACGGUGGCAGCGACGGCACCCGUGGGUGUCGUUUUCCUUCUUGGAGGCGCUGCCAUGGCCUCUACCCGUGCCCCUCUUCGAGCAUUGAGGGAAACCCUUGGUCCGGUUCUUCGGAUCGGAUGGCGACGACGUCACGACGUUGUGCCCCUUCUUGA
rnacentral:rRNA from 1 species